AAGAGACAGCAGCCGCCGCGGGAAUACGAAGGGGGCUAGCGUUGCUCGGAAUUACUGGGCGUAAAGGGAGCGUAGGCGGACAUUUAAGUCAGGGGUGAAAUCCCAGAGCUCAACUCUGGAACUGCCUUUGAUACUGGGUGUCUUGAGUGUGAUAGAGGUAUGUGGAACUCCGAGUGUAGAGGUGAAAUUCGUAGAUAUUCGGAAGAACACCAGUGGCGAAGGCGACAUACUGGAUCAUUACUGACGCUGAGGCUCGAAAGCGUGGGGAGCAAACAGGAUUAGAUACCCCAGUAGUCCCUGUCUCUUAUAC
rnacentral:rRNA from 1 species